rfam:Paraphaeosphaeria sporulosa strain AP3s5-JAC2a unplaced genomic scaffold CC84scaffold_17, whole genome shotgun sequence.
GCCCGCUUGGCUCAGUGGUAGAGCGUAUCACUAGUAGUAAGCUAUGAUAAGGUCGUCAGUUCAAUUCUGACAGUGGGCA